UACGUAGGUGGCAAGCGUUGUCCGGAAUUAUUGGGCGUAAAGCGCGCGCAGGCGGUCCCUUAAGUCUGAUGUGAAAGCCCACGGCUCAACCGUGGAGGGUCAUUGGAAACUGGGGGACUUGAGUACAGAAGAGGAAAGCGGAAUUCCAUGUGUAGCGGUGAAAUGCGUAGAGAUGUGGAGGAACACCAGUGGCGAAGGCGGCUUUCUGGUCUGUAACUGACGCUGAGGCGCGAAAGCGUGGGGAGCAAACAGG
rnacentral:rRNA from 1 species